GGGGAAUAACUUUUCCACGAUAUUCUCAUUUUUUGAGAUGCACCUCUACCUAAGGGUGUGCAAACUUUUGCACGCAACACUAUCAAAUCGCAUACAGUAUAAUCAUGAAAACUGGCAAGAGGUACACUAGCCUAACUUUGAUCAUUUCAGUGUGUGUGUGUGUGUAGUUUUUAAGAUAUCUACUAAGUAUGCUGUGUCCUGCCUCUAUAAUGUCAUGUAGCCUUGUCCAGUGUGGCUGCGCUCGAUUUGCGCAGAUUAAACACUCUCAUUAGGUCAAUGAAGCACCAGGAGGGUCGCGUGAGGGGCGGGACCGCGAGCCAAAAAAACGGAAAGUCACGGCUAGUGCAGACUUCCUUUCUCCAAGGUGUCACAUCCAGGCAAAAAAAAAAGAGAGAGAGAGAGAGGAAAAAGUCGACAAAAACAAGGUUUCUCUCCAGAACCAUUUUGAAUGCUCUGGGAAAAAACCCCGAGGCGCGUGCAAAAAGUUCAAGCAGGCCUUUUCUUUCAAACACUCCAUGAAAAGUGGGCUCCGGUGUUGUUUACAUGAUUUUUAAAGGAUAAAAUACUCCUACACGGAUAAGGUGGAUACAAUGGCUGACCAGGAAAUAUCUAUGGAUGACAGUAUAACAGCUUCUCAGCCUGGUCCUGAUGGAGAUCUGUCAGUCUGACCUCAUCUCUGUUUGACUGAUAUAAGUGAUCGAUCCUCGUUCCAGGGAGGGGAAGAUUGGUCAGAAGUGUUAAGUGUUCGGUUUUUUUGCGCUCCGCUCUCACCACCUUCGCGUUUGUGGACGGCUGCGUGCUUUUCAAAAACGUCCUGUGUGUUUUCCAGAAACGAAACUAUCCCGACGCAGCCAAGCAAGAGCUCGGCCUCGGUGGGAACUUUUUAAGAAAAGCCUCCGGCGUGGACGUCCGUUAUGAUUUGUUGCUUUGAUUUUGUUUAACAGUCGUUUUGGUCAAUACAGGAUUCUGUACGUGAUAUUUCAUAGUCCGUAGUAAAAGUAUGGUUGUAAAAAUUCCGUGUGGGUGUGUGGAGAGGACUGGACUUUCUGUGGUUCCUUUUCAAAGAUAGGCGAGCUAAUGAUUAUGACGGUAACGAAUACACGGAGAGAGAGAGAGAGAGAGAGAGAGAGAGACACACACAGAGAGAGAGAGAGACACACACACAGAGAGAGAGACACACACACACUCAGAGAGAGACACACAAAGAGACACACACAGAGAGAGUGACACACAGAGAGAGAGAG
ensembl:lncRNA